GACGAUCAGCCCGACCGACCAGACGAGCAGGAGCAGCGUCCACGUGGCCAGCGUCCGUCGCGGAUGGGUGGAAGCGUCCGCGGGCGUGUCGCGGCCGGCGUACUGGAGCGGCGGCUCGUCCAUGCGCGCGGGCCGAUCAGGUGGGGAUCUGAUCCUUGAACUGCUGCUUGAACGAGUCGAGGCUCGCGACGCCGGCGGGCAGCCGCGCCUCCUCGGCGAGCAUGACGGGGAUGCCGUCGCGCACGGGGUAACUCAGCCCGCCGACCUCGGCGAUCAGGAAGUCGCCCUCCUGGCGCAGCCGGCUGCGCG
rnacentral:misc_RNA from 1 species